UAGUGCCGUCGCAACUGGCGUCGGAUGGGUCACCAUCAGGGAGCGGCACAGUCGAAGACCACGGAUCGUCCGCCUGGGCCGAGGGU
rnacentral:ncRNA from 1 species